GCAAGUCGAACGGUAACAUUUCUAGCUUGCUAGAAGAUGACGAGUGGCGGACGGGUGAGUAAUGCUUGGGGACUUGCCUUUGCGAGGGGGAUAACAGUUGGAAACGACUGCUAAUACCGCAUAAUGUCUUCGGACCAAACGGGGCUUCGGCUCCGGCGCAAAGAGAGGCCCAAGUGAGAUUAGCUAGUUGGUAAGGUAACGGCUUACCAAGGCGACGAUCUCUAGCUGUUCUGAGAGGAAGAUCAGCCACACUGGGACUGAGACACGGCCCAGACUCCUACGGGAGGCAGCAGUGGGGAAUAUUGCACAAUGGGGGGAACCCUGAUGCAGCCAUGCCGCGUGUGUGAAGAAGGCCUUCGGGUUGUAAAGCACUUUCAGUUGUGAGGAAAAGUUAGUAGUUAAUACCUGCUAGCCGUGACGUUNACAACAGAAGAAGCACCGGCUAACUCCGUGCCAGCAGCCGCGGUAAUACGGAGGGUGCGAGCGUCAAUCGGAAUUACUGGGCGUAAAGCGCACG
rnacentral:rRNA from 1 species